UACGUAGGGGGCUAGCGUUGUCCGGAAUCAUUGGGCGUAAAGCGCGUGUAGGCGGUUCGGUAAGUCUGCUGUGAAAGUCGGGGGCUCAACCCUCGAAUGCCGGUGGAUACUGUCGGACUAGAGUGCGGAAGAGGCGAGUGGAAUUCCUGGUGUAGCGGUGGAAUGCGCAGAUAUCAGGAGGAACACCAAUGGCGAAGGCAGCUCUCUGGUACAUGAUUGACGCUGAGACGCGAAAGCGUGGGGAGCGAACAGG
rnacentral:rRNA from 1 species